rnacentral:rRNA from 1 species
GACGAACGCUGGCGGCGUGCCUAAUACAUGCAAGUCGAGCGAAGUUUUUCUGGUGCUUGCACUAGAAAAACUUAGCGGCGAACGGGUGAGUAACACGUAAAGAACCUGCCUCAUAGACUGGGACAACUAUUGGAAACGAUAGCUAAUACCGGAUAACAGUAUUUCUCGCAUGAGAGAUAUUUAAAAGUUGGUUAUGCUAACACUAUGAGAUGGCUUUGCGGUGCAUUAGCUAGUUGGUGGGGUAAAGGCCCACCAAGGCGACGAUGCAUAGCCGACCUGAGAGGGUGAUCGGCCAUACUGGGACUGAGACACGGCCCAGACUCCUACGGGAGGCAGCAGUAGGGAAUCUUCCGCAAAGGGCGAAAGCCUGACGGAGCAACGCCGCGUGAGUGAAGAAGGAUUUCGGUUCGUAAAGCUCUGUUGUUAGGGAAGAAUGGAUAUGUAGUAACUAUACAUGUAAGAGACGGUACCUAACCAGAAAGCCACGGCUAACUACGUG